GAGGAUUGAACACUGAACAUGUU
rnacentral:siRNA from 1 species